UUAGGAUCCAAUCAAAAAGUGUUUAAGAAUGAAAUUUCUUAGAGAUUAUAGCUAAGCACCAAGAAAAAGAAAAGCGUAGCAAGUUUAUUACUUGUCCUGAAAUUUUCAGAAUGAGUUUAUCGAGUAUGGUUUUAGAAGUGAUAAUCAUCUGUGGGAGGUCAAAGAAAGGUUCCUUAAACUAGAAAAACUUGAAAAGAAGAAAGGAUCUGAUAUAACAAAGUUGAUAUUGAAUGAGUUGGAAAAGAUUGAGUUCGACACAAAAAAUUGUCGUAGUCAAGGCUAAUGUCUUCAAUGUUGCACUCGGCAAUCUGACUAUUCAAAUGAAAUCAAGAUUUAAAGUAAUACAAGUGGAAUGUAACAAGUUUUCCUUCCUUUGGUCUUCACAGAAAUCUCAAACAGACAAAGAACUAGGUUUAAAAGCUGAGAAUCUCGCAAAACAUCACCCAGAAGACUUAUGUAAAAACGAAUUUUCUGAUGAAGUUUUGCUUUUUUUUUUCUGUAAGAAGAAUUAUUCUAGGCAGCAAAAAGCCUGCCGAACAUCUAAAUGAAGUUUAUGCAAAGGGAUUGCAUUCAAUAUUUUCA